CCUGCUUUCACCAAUUGUCAACAAGUCCAAUUGAUCAAUCGUUGUCAAGACUCAAUUGUUGCUACUUCAAUUUUUAGUUUUACAAUCGAGAUAUUGUGUUCUUUUCUAUUGCUGUGAAGAAUCUUUUCAUUUCUGCUUCAACACUUUGUUCUGCUCCAAAUUUGAAAAGAAAAAAAAAAGUAAAAAAGUAAAAAGGAGGUCUCGUUGUCCAACAACAUUGAAAUCUCUUGAAAAAAGGAACCCAUUUAUCUGAGGAAGCUACUUCCAUAAAAAGUGAUAGAACUUGGUUCCUCCCGUAUACCUAUGGAACUGGGUUCCUCCCUCACUUCCUUCCUCAUUUGCCAUCUUUGCCCUUCAAGCUUCUCCCCCUCACUUCAACCAUUCGACCCAGAUGCGAUGGUGUGUGAUUGCUUCUCCCUCGACUCCAAGCUUCUCACCUUCUUUUUGCUCCAUGGACCCAGUUUACUCGCCUCUUGCGCUUCCCCUCCGUCCUUGCCUCAGUCUCGCACAAACCAAGCUCGCUCUUUAACUCGUCAUCUCAGCUCAAUCUAUCAAAUUCUCCGAUGCCAAUGGCUCUGUCUCGCCGGGCACUGGAGAUUCCCCUUGUGAACAACACAGUUUUUCACCUUAGUGUCAGGGGAGGGGAUCGCCGGUGUACGUCACGCUCCCGUUAGAUGCUGUGGGUUUGAAGGGGCGAGUCUUGAGGCGAGAGCUAUGAUUCUUUUGUCUUUCUGGGUUGAUUUUCUUCUUCUUCUUCAGAUCUCCUUCUCCUCCUUCAUCUCGCCAUUCCUUCAUCCAUCUUCUUUGUCAAUCUGCUUCAAUUCUUUGAUUUGUGGCUUUCUGGUAUUUGGCUUUGAUUUCUUGUCUGAAGUUGUGCUAUUUUUUUGGCGAUUGAUUGUUGUUGAGUUUUGAAUUGAUUAUUUUUCUGGAAAUUAUUGUUUAGCUGUGGAUUGAUUA